rnacentral:rRNA from 1 species
CCUACGGGUCGCAGCAGUGGGGAAUAUUGGACAAUGGGCGAAAGCCUGAUCCAGCAAUGCCGCGUGAGUGAUGAAGGCCUUAGGGUUGUAAAGCUCUUUUACCAGGGAUGAUAAUGACAGUGCCUGGAGAAUAAGCUCCGGCUAACUCCGUGCCAGCAGCCGCGGCAAUACGGAGGGAGCUAGCGUUGUUCGGAAUUACUGGGCGUAAAGCGUGCGUAGGCGGCUAUUCAAGUCAGAGGUGAAAGCCUGGAGCUCAACUCCAGAACUGCCUUUGAAACUAGAUAGCUAGAAUGUCGGAGAGGUGAGUGGAAUUCCGAGUGUAGAGGUGAAAUUCGUAGAUAUUCGGAAGAACACCAGUGGCGAAGGCGGCUCACCGGACGACUAUUGACGCUGAGGCACGAAAGCGUGGGGAGCAAACAGGAUUAGAUACCCCCGUAGUC